AACGAACGCUGGCGGCAGGCCUAACACAUGCAAGUCGAGCGAAGCCUUCGGGCUUAGCGGCGGACGGGUGAGUAACGCGUGGGAACGUGCCCUUUGCUACGGAAUAGCCCCGGGAAACUGGGAGUAAUACCGUAUGUGCCCUUCGGGGGAAAGAUUUAUCGGCAAAGGAUCGGCCCGCGUUGGAUUAGGUAGUUGGUGGGGUAAUGGCCUACCAAGCCGACGAUCCAUAGCUGGUUUGAGAGGAUGAUCAGCCACACUGGGACUGAGACACGGCCCAGACUCCUACAGGAGGCAGCAGUGGGGAAUCUUAGACAAUGGGGGAAACCCUGAUCUAGCCAUGCCGCGUGAUCGAUGAAGGCCUUAGGGUUGUAAAGAUCUUUCAGUGGGGAAGAUAAUGACUGUACCCACAGAAGAAGCCCCGGCUAACUCCGUGCCAGCCGCCGCGGUAACAC
rnacentral:rRNA from 1 species